UAGGGAAUCUUCCACAAUGGACGCAAGUCUGAUGGAGCAACGCCGCGUGAGUGAAGAAGGUUUUCGGAUCGUAAAGCUCUGUUGUUGGUGAAGAAGGAUAGAGGCAGUAACUGGUCUUUAUUUGACGGUAAUCAACCAGAAAGUCACGGCUAACUACGUGCCAGCAGCCGCGGUAAUACGUAGGUGGCAAGCGUUGUCCGGAUUUAUUGGGCGUAAAGCGAGCGCAGGCGGAAUGAUAAGUCUGAUGUGAAAGCCCACGGCUCAACCGUGGAACUGCAUCGGAAACUGUCAUUCUUGAGUGCAGAAGAGGAGAGUGGAAUUCCAUGUGUAGCGGUGGAAUGCGUAGAUAUAUGGAAGAACACAAGUGGCGAAGGCGGCUCUCUGGUCUGCAACUGACGCUGAGGCUCGAAAGCAUGGGUAGCGAACAGG
rnacentral:rRNA from 1 species